rnacentral:rRNA from 1 species
GUCCACGCCGUAAACGAUGAGUGCUAGGUGUUGCGGGUAUUGACCCCUGCAGUGCCGAAGUUAACACAUUAAGCACUCCGCCUGGGGAGUACGGUCGCAAGAUUAAAACUCAAAGGAAUUGACGGGGGCCCGCACAAGCGGUGGAGCAUGUGGUUUAAUUCGAUGCAACGCGAAGAACCUUACCAUCCCUUGACAUCCAGAGAAUUCUCUAGGGAUAGAUUAGUGCCUUCGGGAACUCUGAGACAGGUGCUGCAUGGCU